rnacentral:rRNA from 1 species
GCGAGUGAGCGGGAUGAGCUCAAUUUAAAUCUGGCGUCUUUCAGGCGUCCGAGUUGUCUCUAUAAAGGCGUUUUCCGCGCCGGACCGCGUCCAAGUCCCUUGGAAUAGGGUAUCAAAGAGGGUGACCAUCCCGUACUUGACGCGACCACCGGUGCUUUGWGAUACUUUCUCAAAGACUCGAGGUGUUUGGGAAUGCAUCUCUAAGUGGGUGGUAAAUUCCCUCUAAGGCUAAAUAUUGGAGAGAGACCGAUAGCGAACAAGUACCGUGAGGGAAAGAUGAAAAGCUCUUUGRAAAGAGAGUUAAACASCACGUGAAAUUGUUAAAAGGAAAACGAUUGAGGUCCUUCGUGGGGGAGGUAUUCAGCCGUCUCUGGCGGUGUAUUUGCCUCUCACGGUUCAGCAUCAGUUUGAUCCGGUGGUAAAAGGCGGUAGGAAGGCGCUGCCCUCGGGUGUGUUAUAGCCUCCUGUCCAAUGCAUCGCCUUUGACUGAGGAACGCACCUCGCAGCAAUGCCGAUGCUUCGCCCACGUCCGAKCUUAGGAUGUUGACGUAAUGGCUUUCAACGACCCGUCUUGAAACACGGACC